rnacentral:rRNA from 1 species
GACGAACGCUGGCGGCGUGCUUAACACAUGCAAGUCGAACGGAAAGACCCUGCGUUUGUUGGUUUCUCGAGUGGCGAACGGGUGAGUAACACGUGAGUAACCUGCCCUUGACUUUGUGAGAUCUUCUCGAAACUGGGGCUCAUACCGGAUAGGAGCUCCUGCUGCAUGGUGGUGAUUGGAAAGUUUCGGCGGUUGGGGCUGGUCUCGCGGGUUAUCAGCUUGUUAGUGUGGUAGUGGCUUACCAAGGCUUUGACGGGUAGCCGGCCUGAGAGGGUGACCGGCCACAUUGGGACUGAGAUAGGGAGCAGACGCCUAUGGGCGGCAGCAGUGGAGAGUAUGGCACAAUGAGCGGAAGCCUGAGGCAGCAACGCCGCGUGCGUGAUGACGGGUUUCGGGUGGUAAACCGAUGUCUACGGUGACGAGGAGUGAGUGACGGUAAUGGGUAAAGAAGCAACGGCUAACUACGUG